rnacentral:rRNA from 1 species
GCAGAACGCGAAGAACCUUACCAAGGCUUGACAUACACGAGAACGGGCCAGAAAUGGUCAACUCUUUGGACACUCGUGAACAGGUGGUGCAUGGUUGUCGUCAGCUCGUGUCGUGAGAUGUUGGGUUAAGUCCCGCAACGAGCGCAACCCUCGUCGCAUGUUGCCAGCACGUUAUGGUGGGGACUCAUGUGAGACUGCCGGGGUCAACUCGGAGGAAGGUGGGGAUGACGUCAAAUCAUCAUGCCCCUUAUGUCUUGGGCUUCACGCAUGCUACAAUGGCCGGUACAAAGGGCUGCGAUGUCGUAAGGCGGAGCGAAUCCCAAAAAGCCGGUCUCAGUUCGGAUUGAGGUCUGCAACUCGACCUCAUGAAGUCGGAGUCGCUAGUAAUCGCAGAUCAGCAACGCUGCGGUGAAUACGUUCCCGGGUCUUGUACACACCGG